ACUGCCAUUGGGGAAGGAUCUCUUCCUGGAGAUCCCUCCUUGGUGGAGCUUUCUCUUGUGAACCUGGAAUCUUCUGGUAUGGCUAACACCAAUAUUGGCUUUGGAGCUGUUGAGAGGGGAAUGAUGACUGUGAACUAAAGGAAAAUACUGCAAUUGCAAUUCAGAAGUCUUGAUCCAGGUUCUCAGGUCUGCCCAAAUAUGCACCAUCUAAUGCUAAAUGUAUGCUUGACUAUGGGAUUACCUUUGUUUGUAAUUGGAAUGGAUAAAGAUUGAUGUCCAUGUCUUGCAUAUUCACACUGGAUGGAAUUCGUAAAUAACGCUGCUCCGGAUUCCACACAGAGCACUUCCACUCUGAGCAUUACACUCA